ACAGAGGGGGCAAGCGUUGUUCGGAAUUACUGGGCGUAAAGGGCGCGUAGGCGGCCUUCUAAGUCAGACGUGAAAUCCCCGGGCUCAACCCGGGAACUGCGUCUGAUACUGGAGGGCUUGAAUCCGGGAGAGGGAUGUGGAAUUCCAGGUGUAGCGGUGAAAUGCGUAGAUAUCUGGAGGAACACCGGUGGCGAAGGCGGCAUCCUGGACCGGUAUUGACGCUGAGGCGCGAAAGCCAGGGGAGCAAACGGGAUUAGAUACCCCGGUAGUCCUGGCCCUAAACGAUGAAUGCUUGGUGUGGCGGGUAUCGAUCCCUGCCGUGCCGAAGCUAACGCAUUAAGCAUUCCGCCUGGGGAGUACGGUCGCAAGGCUG
rnacentral:rRNA from 1 species